AAGGCAACGAUGCAUAGCCACCUGAGAGGGUGAUCGGCCACAUUGGGACUGAGACACGGCCCAAACUCCUACGGGAGGCAACAGUACGGAAUCUUCCACAAUGGACUAAAGUCUGAUGGAGCAACGCCGCGUGAGUGAUGAAGGUUUUCGGAUCGUAAAACUCUGUUGUAAGGGAAGAACAAGUGCGUUAGGUAAUGAACGCACCUUGACGGUACCUUAUUAUAAAGCCACGGCUAACUACGUGCCAGCAGCCGCGGUAAUACGUAGGUGGCAAGCGUUGUCCGGAUUUAUUGGGCGUAAAGCGCGCGCAGGUGGUUUCUUAAGUCUGAUGUGAAAGCCCACGGCUCAACCGUGGAGGGUCAUUGGAAACUGGGAGACUUGAGUGCAGAAGAGGAUAGUGGAAUUCCAAGUGUAGCGGUGAAAUGCGUAGAGAUUUGGAGGAACACCAGUGGCGAAGGCGACUGUCUGGUCUGUAACUGACACUGAGGCGCGAAAGCGUGGGGAGCAAACAGGAUUAGAUACCCUGGUAGUCCACGCCGUAAACGAUGAGUGCUAAGUGUUAGGGGGUUUCCGCCCCUUAUUGCUGCAGCUAACGCAUUAA
rnacentral:rRNA from 1 species